rnacentral:rRNA from 1 species
CCUACGGGAGGCAGCAGUGGGGAAUAUUGCUCAAUGGGGGAAACUCUGAAGCAGCAACGCCGCGUGGAGGAUGAAGGUUUUAGGAUUGUAAACUCCUUUUGUGAGAGAAGAUAAUGACGGUAUCCCACGAAUAAGCACCGGCUAACUCUGUGCCAGCAGCCGCGGUAAUACGGAGGGUGCAAGCGUUACUCGGAAUCACUGGGCGUAAAGAGUGCGCAGGCGGGCUUGUAAGUCAGAUGUGAAAUCCUGUAGCUUAACUACAGAACUGCAUUUGAAACUAUGAGUCUAGAGUGUGGGAGAGGUAGGUGGAAUUCUUGGUGUAGGGGUAAAAUCCGUAGAUAUCAAGAGGAAUACUCAUUGCGAAGGCGAACGACUGGAACAUUACUGACGCUCAUGCACGAAAGCGUGGGGAGCAAACAGGAUUAGAUACCCGGGUAGUC